CAUGACAUAACGAAUCCUACCCUCUUGGUCUUUGUAUAGCGUACUUGUAGAAUCUAAUAUCCCAUAUUGCAACUAUUGAGCGACUAAUGCAAGCGACUACUUUUGCACAGAAACUAUGUAUUAUUCUUCACCAGUUGACUGAAUGUUCUCUUGACACUAUUUAUUUCUAAUACUAGUAAUGGUCAGCAAAGUUGAUGCUCUAAAACUUAAAUUAUUGGUUCUUUGUUUGAUAAGCUUACCACUUUUGCAACCCUGCUGUCCUUCUUGUAUUAUUGACAGAUAGAAAGCCGGCCCGUAUAUAACCUUAUCUUGAAUAGCUAUAAUUUAUAGAAGUGAAGAAAAAGACAACUCCCUGUAGUUUCAGUCUUUGCAGGAAGCUAGAGGCUAGCAGCAACCAUCAGCCAUCAAGAAUAUGGCUUGCCAGUUCAAUUAAUUUGCACCAGUAUUUGGUAGGUCCAUAGAUUUGAAUUAUGGAUGUGCAUGAAUGAAUCACCAUGUCUCAAGGGUUCAGCUCAAAUCUCAGGACACUUGGGGCUUUUAGGACAUUUAGGAGCAGAGAAUGUCCAUCUAGGACAACAGCAUAACCAUGUGCAACAACUGCAUUCUGGGAAUGAACAUCUGCAGCAAGAGCAAUCUGGGCACGAAGGAAAUCCACACGUGCAGCAGUCACUGCAGCAUGAAAUGUUUCUACAGCAACUGGAUCUAGGACAAGAGCAAGAGCAAGGACAAGAGCAAGAGCAAGGGCAACAGCAAGAGCAAGAGCAAGGGAAAGGGCAACAGCUCCGGCAAGAGCAACACCGCCAAUUGGGUGCUGGGCAGCGAAUACAUGAACAGCAGUUACAUAAGUCACAUGGAUCACAGUUGCAGUUGCAGUCACAACAGCGGGGCAAGUGUAUGCGCAAAGAGCAUCCCGAGUAGCAGCAACAACAAAUCCAUGAGAAAUUAAAGCAGGGUAUUCCACACAGCCACUUCCAGAAUCGACAAGACCUUCGAUUCUUUCGAUUUGUUGGCAUUAAAGGAUCCGGGUUAGCAACCACAAAUUCAGUGACCUCUUUGCAGCAUCUGGAUGCGGGCUGCAGACUGUCAACAGAUUUUAGUUCCUCCUCUAGAAAACCAAUUUCUCUCUCAAGCAUCUGCACCUUAGCCAUUUCCCUGCGCUUGCCAUACAAAUCUGGAUACUCCGGUGGAGACUUUGGGCAAGGCGGCGGCAACGAGGGCACCGAGGAAGAGCAACCCGACUUAGCUGUAGCCACUACUCUAUAACUUUCUUUGUGCAUGGUAAUAAUGAUAGUGGUAAUAAUGGUAAAGACGGCUGUGGAAAAGCCUGCAACUCUGAGUACGAACCCAUUUUGCAUUUUUGCUUAAAAAAAAUGAAAGAAAGAAAGAGUCUUGAUCGAAUUUGAGUGAGUUUUCAGUCCAGAAAUCUCCGCUCCUCCUGUGUAGCUCUGCGUCCUUGUGAUGUGGGUGUAUUAUUUUCUGAGCCAGUGUCUCGCUGGUGGGGUGGUGGAUGCAGAGGAGAAGCGAAAAACACGAUGAAGUACCUGAGAUAGACACGUGAUGGCUGCGUAGGAGAGAGAAAAGAGUUUUUUGUGCUAAUGGAGAAGGGAGUUGGAAUUUUGAACCUCGAAUCUGCUCUGAUUUUGAGACAAAAGAGAAACUAUGACCACAAUGGGUAAUCUCUUAUGAUCUUUGAUUCAAUCAACUCUAGUUACUUUUUACAAUUCUCACUCACUUGGAAUCUUUGCUUUUCC
rnacentral:misc_RNA from 1 species